UGAGCCGAAUUGAGUGACUACUUUUCUCCGUCCGCCGUGCUGCCUACUCUAAUGUAAGGUGGAGGAUGCCCAUUAUGGGCCUAGACGUGAAUUAACACUUUGCCUGGAAGGUUGUCCAUGUUGAUUAUCAGAGUGUUGCCGUAACCAUGAAUGUAUACUCGUCUGUGGGCUUAAUCAGGAGUGCACACUCCUUCGCACUCUAAGACGAGAGUAUACACUAUCUCAGGGGUCCAGUCGAGAGUGUACAUUGCCAGAAUGCUCGGUUCAUGGCUGGUCGAGACAUUGCUAGAAAGGUUCGUCGUCUACCCUUAUCCUACUUCAGGACACCUCAUCUGGGGCACGCUGCAUCUUUGUACGCUGCAAAAGCUUAUUCACCAAGGUCGUUUGCUGCGUGAGAGCGCUUGUCAACUCUAUGACUUGUCGAAACAAGUGUUGUUCGCCAUGUGGCUUGGAAGAGCCUGGACAGUAUGCGUGUCCUUAAGUGGUGGAAAUGUAAUGGACUCCGGGCGUAAGAUUUGAGCUGGGAUAUGUCAAAUUUAUGAAAAAACGGGGUGAAAAUACCUUUGGUUCAAUCGUCGGUCUAGAAAUCUAAAGUUGGGAUGGUUGAAUUGGUCUUAGACCAAUUUGGGCAGUUACGUUGGCCAUAGGAGUAGGCUAGACCGCAUGUACAAGUUGGAUCACGGGCACGAGUUAGAUUGUGGGUGUGUGUUGGUCCCCCGAGGCACGUGGACGCUGGGCCCUUCCUUCUCUCGGUGCGGCUUGGGCUAGCUGCAUUGCAGCUGAAGGAUAUAUUUGUGAAAACAAGUUCAAUUGAGCAAUAUCUACAACAUGGAAUUAACAAUUAAAGACGGAAUCAUGCUUGUAUGCACUCAAAAACAAAACUUUACCCAUGAAAUUCAAGGCCUAGUGAGUGUGGUGAACCAAGACUUAACUCAAUAACAAAGUGAGUUGAGAAAUAUUAUACCUUUGUUGAUUCCUCUUUGCAUAAGCAAAGGCUAAUCACCCAAGAGAUAGGGCCUUCAUUCCUUACUUCUUAGCUCUAUGGAUUUCUUGGAUGAGGAUGGUAGAAUGGAUUCUCCAAGUUCCCAAAAAAGGGAACCUCUAAGUCUCCACACCAAGGAAAGCAUUGAUGAGGAGAUGAGUAAGAUUUAGAUGCUAGUAAAACCUUCCUAGGCUGGCCGGCCUCUUAGAGAGAAAAGGGAGCUUGUGUUCUCAUCUGUUCUCUAAAAGAAACCCUUAGGAUGAAAUGGCUAUAAAGUUGCCUUUAUACCACUUCACAAUGGAGUGGCAAACUUGCAAUUAAGCCAAGUUCACUACCCCUCUCUAUUUGGCCGGCCAUUAAGGGUUCAUUGGGCUUUCAAGCCCUUUGUGUUUUCAAGUUGUCAUACAACUUGAGUUAAUGGGCUUGGCAUUUAAAUCCCAUUGGGCUUUGAGGCCUAAAAUUAACUCGAGGUCUAUAGCGAACAUAUUUGUUUGAUUAAUUAACAUAUUAAUUAAUCCUAGCCAUAAAUAAUUGAACCAUUUAAUUAUCUUUACUCAUCUCCGUUGUUUCUUCAAUCUCUACCUUACUCGGUGUACGAUCCAUUAGGUCUGUUUUAGCAAGGUAGUGGGCGAUUGUUACUCUUAACGAUCAAUUGUGAAUUGAAACAUACUUUCAAUUCUCCCUUUAGUGAUUACUCACCUUUAGGGCUUCUACAAACCAUGAAUGACACCUAGCAAUAUGUCAUGGCUACCCAAGCUAAUCAGAAGAGGUGGAGAACUUAUUCAAUUUAGGAUUACAAUGCGAUACGGUCUUUGUUGGAAAUGUGCCCUAAAGCCAAUCAUAUGAUGAUACUUUACGAACAUUUCACAUGUUAAACUAAUCUAGUUUAAUAUAAAGGGCAACGAUUAUUAUUUAAAGAUGUCUCAUAUAAAUGUUAUAUGCUUAAACGAUAAGUCCAAGGAAUAUGUAAUUGGGAGAAUGUGAUCUAAAGAAGUUAGAUUCAUGAGACCAUUCUCUUUCAUAUACAUAUCCUAAAGUUUCCUAAUUAUAGAAUUUCCAAUUGGGCAUUGACAGUUUGUUAAGAUCAGUACAUGUUAUGUCGUUUUCUCUCAGGGAGAGUGACUGGUCUCAAGUCAUUGGUGUGAUUGACACCAAGACAAGUACAUAUGUGCUCAAUAGAGAAUGAGUCCAUUGAAUGCGAUCAACAAGGAGUUCUCAUACUCUUGUCACAUGGGAACUCAUGGUUGGGAUAAUGCAAAAUUGUCCUUUGACCUGAGGCAUCAUAGUUGUCUUGUGGUUAGGUCCUUGAUCUUUGACUAUGUCAAAGUCACUCCGUUAGAGGUAGGGAUGGGCAAAAUACCCGCGGUUAUGGGUUACCGCAGUUACCCGCCCAUUUAAACUUCACGGUUAUGGUUAUGGAUAACUGUUUAGAUAAAUAAACAAUUAUGGGUAUAACCGUUUACCUGUGAAAUUUAAAUGGGUGGUUAUGGGUAAACCCCGUAUGCCACUGAAGCUCAAGGGAAAAUUUUAUAGGACGGUAAUAAGGCCGGCGAUGCUGUAUGGCACAGAAUGUUGGGCGGUGAAACAUCAACACGUACACAAA
rnacentral:lncRNA from 1 species